UGCUGGUCUGGCCUGUCACUCCAGCCAAGGCAGGCACAGCUCCCACAUAUUUGCUUCUGUGUCACCUGCAAUCUUGUCAUGGAAAGAAAGGUUUAAAGACGUUCUCAUCUGCUCCAUUCUCAUGCUUAAAGGGCAGGAAGGACCGUGGGACCUCCCCUCAGGGUCAGGGCCUGAUAGGACACAGUCACCAAAGGGCUCCCCAAGGGAGCUUCGUGAAAAAUGCCUGAUUGUCACAUGGUCACAGAACAACAUAACCUAUAAUGGUAUCAUUCCAUAUACUACUCAUUGCAUGUACUAAUUUCCUAUUUGGUCUUAUGGAAAAUAUUUGACAAUGCCUCUAGGGGAACAUUCGAGCAUGCAUUGGGGGUGGUGCUGGCGCACGCCUGCUGGAGUGAUCUGUGCGAAGCUGCAUGCUCACCCUUUCCCCCACCUACCCCACUUCCCUGAAUGCUGAGACUCAUUUAAAGUCACAACAAUUUUUUUUAAGUCUCCUUUGCUGAGUAGCAGAGUUUCACCUUCCAAGCAUGGAUGAUCGAUUCAGGAGUUCAAUUGUUCGUUCAUUAAAUAAGUCAAAUUUAUUGAGCACCUACUCUGCACCAGGUGCAAUGCUAGAUAGGCUGUGGGAUACAACAGUAAACGAGACUGGCACAGCCCAGUCCUCAUGCAAUUGUGAGUCCAUUGGUUUGAGUCCUAAUUCUGCCAUUUGCUCUAUAACCCUGGGCAAGCCAUUUUAUCUUUCUGAACUUUGAUACUUUUAUCUAUAAAAUGAAGAUUGGAAUUCUUGCCUCACUGAGUUUUCCUGGUACAUAGUUGGCGCUCAAUAAAUGGCAGCUAUUCUUUUUACAUUUUCCAGGCCUUGAGCUUUCUUUUUUCUUCUCGCUGUGGAAAUUGCCUGAUAAGCUACAAACUGUUGGUUCUUGAAUGGGCUGGCUGCCCCAGAUGUCCGAAUCCCUUGGAAGGAACCUGGAGGAGUUGGCUGAUGGGCUCCAGCUUCACAUAGAGGCAGAUGCCACACAAGCCACCCACCCAGAUGCAGAGCCAGAUUCCCUGCAUGGACUGGACGGGAGUUUCCCAGCUGGAGUUCUCUGGGCCCAGUUGCCUGUGACAUGGGGUUGGGGGUGCUCCAGAAAGUCAUGGCCACCCCUGGAGGAAGUGACUUGUGGCUGACUGCUCAAGGGGAAGUCCUGUGGCGGUGGAGUCGUCAGCAUUCAUUCAAAUAAGGUAAGUGCUUCAGCAGGGAUGAGGGAGGGGCUGAAAGGCUGGGGGUGACUGCGAUGACCUCAAGCUUGAACUGAAACCUCUGGAAGGGCAUUGUAUUCGAACUGUUUAGAUGAUUGCAUGGAAUCAUCUCAUUUUUACAUCAGCAGAAGCCUAGACUCAGAGAGGUGAAGUGAUUUGUCUGAGGUCACACAGCACGGUAGUGAUUGGGCUGGGUCUGAGGGCCUCUCUGGGGGUGCAUCUGAAGUCUCUGUGCCUCAGGGAAGCGGGAGGAGUGGAGACUGGGGCUGUGGCCAGGCUCUUCCUAGCCUUCCUAGGUGUCUAUCUCCUCUUCAGUGUCAUCUCCACUUUCCUUUCCCUCUGUUUCUUCCUCCUCUGCCUACAACACUCUUAGUUUGUUCUAAAUGCCCCCUUGUCAGAGCUGAGGAACUUGAGGUGACAUGCUGAAGACCCUGGGUGAGGAUCCUGGUUUGACGCAUUUUUCUUGGAACCCUUGGAUGUUCCUGGGGUGUAAGUGUGUGUAGGGUGUGAGUGUGUUGUAUGUGUACCCAUGUGUGCUUUGUGUGUGUGGUUUGGUUCUGUGGUAUGUGAAUGUGUGUGCAUGCACAUGUGUGGUGUGAGUGUAUGGAGUGUGUGCACAAUGAGUAUGUAUGGUGUGUGUGCAUGCAUGUGUAGUGUGCACGUAUGUGUGUGAAUGUGCGGUAUGUGUAUCUGUGCACAUGUGCAGGGUGUAGCUGGUGUGUGCUCACUUGUUUGUGAUGUGUGCAUAUGUGCACAUGUGUUCAUGCAUGUGUGUACUUGUGUGGUGUAUGCCUGUGUGUGCCCAUGCAUGCAUGUGUGUGUAUACGUGUGUGCAAGAGGAAACAGAUGGUGACUUUGCCACAGCAGUGUUUAGCUGACCCCAGUGCAGGAGCUGCCCUUACCGUCUGUGUCCCCCUUUUCGGCAGCCCCAGCGGGAGUUCUGCCUCAUGGCACACGCGUGUCCAGUCCUGCGGAGCCUGGACUCUGGGUUAAGAGAGGUAAGCGCUCAGAAAUAGUAAACCACUGUUUUCUUGCCGGCUGUUUGCCCUUAUUAAUUCAGGUAGCAAUUACCCAUUCUGAAUAUUUGGCAACUAAUUAGUUUUCCCGUGGAGAUGGCAGAAUGAGGAAUGCUCUGCUUUGACCUGAUCCACUUUCUCAGUUCCCGGGGAUGGGGGUGGGGGCUGGAGGAGGGAGGGCGUGGAGCACGGAAGUGAGAGCUACAGAGAAGUCUGCUCAAAGCCCGAGAUGCCCUUUAGCUGCCGGGGUCUUGGCUACAAAUCUUUAGGAGGAUAAAAAUAACCCACCCAAUGUUGGUUUUGUUGGGGCUUUCAUGUCACGGGCCCAUUUCCUCUGUGGGUGCAGCUCCUGGCAGUGUGCCGGGUAACGGAGGAGGUGCUGUCAGGGCAGACUCAGGGCUGCUUUCCAACCAAAGCGCCUCCUUUUUGGGAACCCUGAUUUGGACUCGGGAUCCAUAGGAGACUGGAACCUGGACCACAGGGACCCGACGCUCAGGGUGAGGGCACCCCUCAGACCCCAAGAGACUGGGGCCUGUGGAACACACAAUCCGGGGGACAGGUUGGAGGAGACACUCAGAUGACCGUCUGGCCAAGCUCAGCUGGGAGUUGAAUCAGAGAUCGUUUCUUACCAGCCACUAAGUCCCUUGGCCAACAUCUGGCCUAGAUUUGCCUUUUUAGCUCCUGAGCUUUCUGUUACUGGGAAGAGUUGUCAGUGACAUGAUCUGGUUCCCAGAGGCACCUCUGAGAAAGGGUUCUUACAGAUAGGAGGGUGCAUGGAUCAAGGCCAGCUCCAUCCAGCAGCCUCCUGCAUUGGAACAGCCCUCGGGCGGGAAUCUAUUUUGGGGAAGUGGUAGAAGGAUGAGUCAAUCCAUCGCACUGCUUGCUAUACCUUUUCUGGUGGCGGUGAGGGGGCUCAGACUACUGUGGGGAGUGGAUGCAGUUCAGGGUGCCACAGACCAGCCCGCUGGUGGGGGAAGCUGCCUCCAGACGCCUCCCCGCACGCUGUGUCCGCAGGGACGCAGCCUGUGAGUCACAGGCCUUCCUUCUGCCCCGCGUGGUCAUGCAUUUGUGUCUGUGAAAGGUGCUCUUUGCCUGAUGGGGGCUGGGAGGCCUCCAGGCCGAUGUCCCUACCCGUAGCCUUGUCUUAGCUGUGGGCAAGACCGGCUGCCCGCUUUCCUCCUUGGACACAGGUCCUCUUCAGAACCUGGGGUGGGCAUCAGCAUUCUCAGACUGGCACCGGCUGGCUGCAUGCCCCCUCCCGCUUCUGUGUCCCUGACACUCAGCACGCGCCUGUCCGUCUGCACACGGCUGGAGCCGGCUCCAGUCAGCCGCACACAGUUUGCCCAGCUCACCUGCUUAUUAUAAUUCAAGGCCAGGGACCCUGCGUCCUGUGUGUCUGGGGUUUCCCCAGGGUCUAGCGUUUGCUCUGGCUGCCGGCCCUGGCCGGUGGCUGAUGCCGGGUCACAUGUUCAGGCUGGUUUCCCUAAACUGCGGCAGCUGCAGUUCCUGUACAGAUAGGCUCAGCGAAAGUGCCAGGGCCUUGGGUUCAGACCUGGUUGAGUCCCGGUUCUGCCAGUUGUGUGUGACUUUGGGCAAAUUCUUUCAGCUCCAGGAGCCUCGCUUUCCUGGUGAUUGCUGUAUUUUUGGGGUAGACUACACGCAUAUUUGUCAUUAGAACCACAUGCUCCGGUCCCCAGCGAUGUGAAGGGGCUUCAGGGAAGAGAGUGUGCGGAGGUGACCUUUGCAGUUUGCAGCUGGACGAGUGGCCUUGGGCCUCCUUACUCCCUCACGUGUCUGUGGGGUGAGCAGGCGUCACUCCUUCCUCCCUGGAGCUGAAAUAGUUCUGCUUCGGCUGGGAAUGACCGGCUUAGAGCUGAGGUCGGGGUGACACCCAGGUGUUUUCCAGGUCACCCAAGGGACAGGGUUGAAACAAGCGCGAUCACAGAAUUCCCAGGCUGGGACGUGAAGUGGCUUUGAGGCGCAGACCAGCUGUCUUGCGACCUAGGCCUCCGCUUGCUUCCUCCAGGCCACACCUGACCUCGGCCUAGGAGUGAGCUCAAAGCUGCACACACAAU
ensembl:lncRNA